rnacentral:rRNA from 1 species
CCCGGACCGGGUACGGGGGUAACGAAUACGUAUCCAACCUGCCGUCUACUCUUGGCCAGCCUUCUGAAGGAAGAUUAAUCCAGGAUGGCAUCAUGAGUUCACAUGUCCGCAUGAUUAAAGGUAUUUUCCGGUAGACGAUGGGGAUGCGUUCCAUUAGAUAGUAGGCGGGGUAACGGCCCACCUAGUCAACGAUGGAUAGGGGUUCUGAGAGGAAGGUCCCCCACAUUGGAACUGAGACACGGUCCAA